AACGAACGCUGGCGGCAUGCCUAACACAUGCAAGUCGAACGAGAUCUUCGGGUCUAGUGGCGCACGGGUGCGUAACGCGUGGGAAUCUGCCCUUUGGUUCGGAAUAACAGUUGGAAACGACUGCUAAUACCGGAUGAUGACGAAAGUCCAAAGAUUUAUCGCCAGAGGAUGAGCCCGCGUAGGAUUAGCUAGUUGGUGUGGUAGAGGCGCACCAAGGCGACGAUCCUUAGCUGGUCUGAGAGGAUGAUCAGCCACACUGGGACUGAGACACGGCCCAGACUCCUACGGGAGGCAGCAGUGGGGAAUAUUGGACAAUGGGCGAAAGCCUGAUCCAGCAAUGCCGCGUGAGUGAUGAAGGCCUUAGGGUUGUAGAGCUCUUUUACCCGGGAUGAUAAUGACAGUACCGGGAGAAUAAGCUCCGGCUAACUCCGUGCCAGCCGCCGCGGUAA
rnacentral:rRNA from 1 species